rnacentral:sRNA from 1 species
CACUUCGCUCGUGUACAGUGGAAAUCCUUUUGUGCCGGUGUUCGGCACAAAAAAUUGGAACACAUAGCGGGAAAAGCC